GAUGAACGCUGGCGGCGUGCCUAAUACAUGCAAGUCGAGCGAACAGAUAAGGAGCUUGCUCCUUUGACGUUAGCGGCGGACGGGUGAGUAACACGUGGAUAACCUACCUAUAGGACUGGGAUAACUUCGGGAAACCGGAGCUAAUACCGGAUAACAUAUUGAACCGCAUGGUUCAAUAGUGAAAGGCGGCUUUGCUGUCACUUAUAGAUGGAUCCGCGCCGUAUUAGCUAGUUGGUAAGGUAACGGCUUACCAAGGCAACGAUACGUAGCCGACCUGAGAGGGUGAUCGGCCACACUGGAACUGAGACACGGUCCAGACUCCUACGGGAGGCAGCAGUAGGGAAUCUUCCGCAAUGGGCGAAAGCCUGACGGAGCAACGCCGCGUGAGUGAUGAAGGUCUUCGGAUCGUAAAACUCUGUUAUCAGGGAAGAACAAAUGUGUAAGUAACUGUGCACAUCUUGACGGUACCUGAUCAGAAAGCCACGGCUAACUACGU
rnacentral:rRNA from 1 species